rnacentral:rRNA from 1 species
ACAGUCACACAUUAGAUACCCCGGUAGUCCCAGCCGUAAACUAUGCUCGCUAGGUGUCAGGCAUGGCGCGACCGUGUCUGGUGCCGCAGGGAAGCCGUGAAGCGAGCCACCUGGGAAGUACGGCCGCAAGGCUGAAACUUAAAGGAAUUGGCGGGGAGCACAACAACGGGUGGAGCCUGCGGUUUAAUUGGACUCAACGCCGGACAACUCACCGGGGACGACAGCAAUAUGUAGGCCAGGCUGAAGACCUUGCCUGAAUCGCUG